GGCGCUGUAGCUCAGUAGUAGAGUGCUUGCCUCUCAUGCAUGAGGCAUUGGGUUCAAUCCUCAGCACCA
rnacentral:tRNA from 1 species